UACGAAGGGGGCUAGCGUUUGCUCGGAAUUACUGGGCGUAAAGGGAGCGUAGGCGGAUAUUUAAGUCGGGGGUGAAAUCCUGGAGCUCAACUCCAGAACUGCCUUUGAUACUGAGGAUCUUUGAGUUUCGGGAGAGGUGAGUGGAACUGCGAGUGUAGAGGUGAAAUUCGUAGAUAUUCGGAAGAACACCAGUGGCGAAGGCGGCUCACUGGCCCGAUACUGACGCUGAGGCACGAAAGCGUGGGGAGCAAACAGG
rnacentral:rRNA from 1 species